rnacentral:misc_RNA from 1 species
GUUUCUGCUCGUUUGAUUGCUACUUCUCGGCCAUCCUCUAACGUGCCGCGAUAGACUGAACCGAAGCUUCCUGUUCCAACUUUGUGAUCCUCGGAGAAGUUGUUCGUGGCUUGAAGUAGCAGUUGCAAUGGGAAUUCUUCUAAAUGACCUGCAUUUCCCAUGCUGGCCAAUUGGCUAAGACGCUUCUCCAGAACAGGUGGUGGUGGUGCUUGUUCGAUUUGUGGGUGUUGCUGCUGUUGUUGUCCUGUACCCUGUUCGAGGGGUGCUCCGGUCUCAUCCAACCGCCCUGAAUCAUGGACUCG